rnacentral:misc_RNA from 1 species
CAACCCUCAAGCCUAGCUUGGUGUUGGGGCACUACCUGACUGUUUUACAGGACGGUAGGCCCUGAAAUUUAGUGGCGAGCUCGCCAGGACUCCGAGCGCAGUAGUAAAACCCUCGCUUUGGACUGUACUGGCGCGGCCCUGCCGUAAAACCCCCAACUUCUGAAA